rnacentral:sRNA from 1 species
GGUCUCUUGCUGACACCUCCAGCAUCCUCUGCUGGUCUCUUGCUGAACCCCCACCCCCCUCAGCAUCCUCUGCAUCUUCAUAGGCUUCUCUGUGUUGCAGCUUGGAUGCAAUAGAAACCCACCAGCAUGCAUCAGGACUCCAGCCCAUGGAUGGUGUCACCCACAUCUCUGGAGCCAUCUUGGAAAGGCUAAAGCUAGCAGGAGACCUUCCUGGAGAUGGUCCACCAUCUUUCUAUGGUCUGCAGUGGGCAAGCACUGAGAGGCAAGGCCCCAGGAGACUUCAUCCAGAAUUGAUUCUUGCAAGUGAUUUGCCUUUCCCGUCUCCAUUACCUACCCUAAGGAUUCCUGGGCACUUGCCAACCCUAUUGAGGAGACUUCUUGCAGAUCAACAUCAAAAUGGAUUUUCGUGAAUUAAUGACUGUUUAGAUGAAUUAAU